rnacentral:rRNA from 1 species
GAUUUACUGGGCGUAAAGGGCGCGUAGGCGGCCACCGCAAGUCGAUUGUGAAAUCUCCGGGCUUAACCCGGAAAGGUCAACCGAUACUGCGGGGCUAGAGUGCAGAAGGGGCAACUGGAAUUCUCGGUGUAGCGGUGAAAUGCGUAGAUAUCGAGAGGAACACCUGCGGCGAAGGCGGGUUGCUGGGCUGACACUGACGCUGAAGUGCGAAAGCUAGGGGAGCGAACGGGAUUAGAUACCCCGGUAGUCCUAGCCUUAAACGAUGAAUGCUUGGUGUCUGGGGUUUUAUAGUCCCCGGGUGCCGUCGCUAACGCUUUAAGCAUUCCGCCUGGGGAGUACGGUCGCAAGACUGAAACUCAAAGGAAUUGACGGGGACCCGCACAAGCGGUGGAGCAUGUGGUUUAAUUCGACGCAACGCGAAGAACCUUACCUGGGCUAGAAUGCCUCUGACCGGCGUAGAGAUACGCCUUCCUGGGUAAAACCAGGCAGAGUGCAAGGUGCUGCAUGGCU